rnacentral:tRNA from 1 species
GCUAUUUUGGCAGAUUAGUGUGUUGAAUUUAGAAUUCAUUUAUAUAGAUUUUUCUAUAAAUAGUA